rnacentral:rRNA from 1 species
GAUGAACGCUGGCGGCGUGCCUAAUACAUGCCAGUCGAGCGAACAGACGAGGAGCUUGCUCCUCUGACGUUAGCGGCGGACGGGUGAGUAACACGUGGAUAACCUACCUAUAAGACUGGGAUAACUUCGGGAAACCGGAGCUAAUACCGGAUAACAUGUUGAACCGCAUGGUUUAACAGUGAAAGACGGUCUUGCUGUCACUUAUAGAUGGAUCCGCGCCGCAUUAGCUAGUUGGUAAGGUAACGGCUUACCAAGGCAACGAUGCGUAGCCGACCUGAGAGGGUGAUCGGCCACACUGGAACUGAGACACGGUCCAGACUCCUACGGGAGGCAGCAGUAGGGAAUCUUCCGCAAUGGGCGAAAGCCUGACGGAGCAACGCCGCGUGAGUGAAGAAGGUCUUCGGAUCGUAAAACUCUGUUAUUAGGGAAGAACAAAUGUGUAAGUAACUAUGCACGUCUUGACGGUACCUAAUCAGAAAGCCACGGCUAACUACGUG